rnacentral:rRNA from 1 species
GAUGAACGCUAGCGGCAGGCCUAACACAUGCAAGUCGAGGGGUAGAGUUCUUCGGGACUUGAGACCGGCGCACGGGUGCGUAACGCGUAUGCAAUCUACCUUAUACAGGGGAAUAGCCCAGAGAAAUUUGGAUUAAUGCCCCAUAGUGUUAUCGAAUCGCAUGGUUUGAUAACUAAAGUUCCAACGGUAAAAGAUGAGUAUGCGUCCCAUUAGCUAGAUGGUAAGGUAACGGCUUACCAUGGCAACGAUGGGUAGGGGUCCUGAGAGGGAGAUCCCCACACUGGUACUGAGACACGGACCAGACUCCUACGGGAGGCAGCAGUGAGGAAUAUUGGACAAUGGCGCAAGACCUGAUCCAGCCAUGCGCGUGCAAGGAAGAAC